AANNGCUGGCGCUGCUACCAUGCAGUCGACGGUGAACACGGAGCUUGCUCUGUGGGAUCAGUGGCGAACGGGUGAGUAACACGUGAGCAACCUGCCCCUGACUCUGGGAUAAGCGCUGGAAACGGCGUCUAAUACUGGAUACGAGUAGCGGCCGCAUGGUCAGUUACUGGAAAGAUUUUUUGGUUGGGGAUGGGCUCGCGGCCUAUCAGCUUGUUGGUGAGGUAAUGGCUCACCAAGGCGUCGACGGGUAGCCGGCCUGAGAGGGUGACCGGCCACACUGGGACUGAGACACGGCCCAGACUCCUACGGGAGGCAGCAGUGGGGAAUAUUGCACAAUGGGCGAAAGCCUGAUGCAGCAACGCCGCGUGAGGGAUGACGGCCUUCGGGUUGUAAACCUCUUUUAGCAGGGAAGAAGCGAAAGUGACGGUACCUGCAGAAAAAGCGCCGGCUAACUACGUGCCAGCAGCCGCGGUAAUACGUAGGGCGCAAGCGUUAUCCGGAAUUAUUGGGCGUAAAGAGCUCGUAGGCGGUUUGUCGCGUCUGCUGUGAAAUCCCGAGGCUCAACCUCGGGCCUGCAGUGGGUACGGGCAGACUAGAGUGCGGUAGGGGAGAUUGGAAUUCCUGGUGUAGCGGUGGAAUGCGCAGAUAUCAGGAGGAACACCGAUGGCGAAGGCAGAUCUCUGGGCCGUAACUGACGCUGAGGAGCGAAAGGGUGGGGAGCAAACAGGCUUAGAUACCCUGGUAGUCCACCCCGUAAACGUUGGGAACUAGUUGUGGGGUCCAUUCCACGGAUUCCGUGACGCAGCUAACGCAUUAAGUUCCCCGCCUGGGGAGUACGGCCGCAAGGCUAAAACUCAAAGGAAUUGACGGGGACCCGCACAAGCGGCGGAGCAUGCGGAUUAAUUCGAUGCAACGCGAAGAACCUUACCAAGGCUUGACAUAUACGAGAACGGGCCAGAAAUGGUCAACUCUUUGGACACUCGUAAACAGGUGGUGCAUGGUUGUCGUCAGCUCGUGUCGUGAGAUGUUGGGUUAAGUCCCGCAACGAGCGCAACCCUCGUUCUAUGUUGCCAGCACGUAAUGGUGGGAACUCAUGGGAUACUGCGGGGUCACUCGGAGAAGGUGGGGAUGACGUCAAUCAUCAUGCCCUUAUGUCUUGGGCUUCACCGCAUGCUACAAUGGGCCGGGUAACAAA
rnacentral:rRNA from 1 species